UACGUAGGUGGCAAGCGUUGUCCGGAUUUAUUGGGUCUAAAGGGUGCGUAGGCGGCCUUGUAAGUCAGUGCUGAAAUAUCCCGGCUUAACCGGGAGGGUGGCAUUGAUACUGCAGGGCUUGAGUAAAGUUGAGGUUGGCGGAAUUGACGGUGUAGCGGUGAAAUGCUUAGAUAUCGUCAAGAACACCGAUAGUGAAGACAGCUAACUAAGCUUUAACUGACGCUGAGGCACGAAAGUGUGGGGAUCAAACAGG
rnacentral:rRNA from 1 species